rnacentral:rRNA from 1 species
CCUACGGGAGGCAGCAGUGGGGAAUAUUGGACAAUGGGGGGAACCCUGAUCCAGCGACGCCGCGUGAGUGAAGAAGUAUUUCGGUAUGUAAAGCUCUAUCAGCAGGGAAGAAAGAAAUGACGGUACCUGACUAAGAAGCCCCGGCUAACUACGUGCCAGCAGCCGCGGGAAUACGUAGGGGGCAAGCGUUAUCCGGAUUUACUGGGUGUAAAGGGAGCGUAGACGGCGAUGCAAAUCUGAAGUGAAAGGCGGGGGCCCAACCCCCGGACUGCUUUGGAAACUGUAUGGCUGGAGUGCAGGAGAGGUAGGUGGAAUUCCUGGUGUAGCGGUGAAAUGCGUAGAUAUUAGGAAGAACACCAGUGGUGAAGGCGGCUUACUGGACUGUAACUGACGUUGAGGCUCGAAAGCGUGGGGAGCAAACAGGAUUAGAUACCCGUGUAGUC